AAAGUACUCCCUCCGUCCCAAAAUUCUUGUCUUAGAUUUGUCUAGAUACGGAUGUAUCAAGUCACAUUUUAGUAUUAGAUACAUCCGUAUCUAGAAAAAUCUAAGACAAGAA
rnacentral:pre_miRNA from 1 species